UACUGGGGGAGCAAGCGUUGUUCGGAUUUACUGGGCGUAAAGGGCGCGUAGGCGGCCACCGCAAGUCGAUUGUGAAAUCUCCGGGCUUAACCCGGAAAGGUCAACCGAUACUGCGGGGCUAGAGUGCAGAAGGGGCAACUGGAAUUCUCGGUGUAGCGGUGAAAUGCGUAGAUAUCGAGAGGAACACCUGCGGCGAAGGCGGGUUGCUGGGCUGACACUGACGCUGAUGUGCGAAAGCUAGGGGAGCGAACGGG
rnacentral:rRNA from 1 species